rfam:Schistosoma mansoni, Puerto Rico, WGS project CABG01000000 data, contig: 0176
AUCCAUCUGACGAUUCCCAAAUAGGAUGAGAUACGCAUCCUGGAU